rnacentral:rRNA from 1 species
GAUGAACGCUGGCGGCGUGCCUAAUACAUGCAAGUCGAGCGAACAGACGAGGAUCUUGCUCCUCUGACGUUAGCGGCGGACGGGUGAGUAACACGUGGAUAACCUACCUAUCAGACUUGGAUAACUUCGGGAAACCGGAGCUCAUGCCGGAUAAUAUAUUGAACCGCAUGGUUCAAUAGUGAAAGACGGUUUUGCUGUUGCUUAUAGAUGGAUCCGCGCCGCAUUAGCUAGUUGGUAAGGUAACGGCUUACCAAGGCAACGUUGCGUAGCCGACCUGAGUGGGUGGUCAGCCACCCUGGGAGGGAGACACGGUCCAGACGCCUACGGGAGGGAGCAGUAGGGAUUCGGGAGCAAGGGGUGGAGACCUGACGGAGCAGCGCGGCGUGAGUGAGGAGGGUCUUCGGAUGGUAGAACACGGUUAUCGGGUAGGAAACAAUGUGUAGCAAGCUAGGCGCGACUGUAAGGUAACCAACAAGAAAGGCGCGGCUAACUUCGGG